GAUGAACGCUGGCGGCGUGCCUAAUACAUGCAAGUCGAGCGAACAGACGAGGAGCUUGCUCCUCUGACGUUAGCGGCGGACGGGUGAGUAACACGUGGAUAACCUACCUAUAAGACUGGGAUAACUUCGGGAAACCGGAGCUAAUACCGGAUAAUAUAUUGAACCGCAUGGUUCAAUAGUGAAAGACGGUUUUGCUGUCACUUAUAGAUGGAUCCGCGCCGCAUUAGCUAGUUGGUAAGGUAACGGCUUACCAAGGCAACGAUGCGUAGCCGACCUGAGAGGGUGAUCGGCCACACGGGAACGGAGACACGGUCCAGACUACUACGGGAGGCAGCAGUAGGGAAUCUUCCGCAACGGGCGAAAGCCUGACGGAGCAACGCCGCGUGAGUGAUGAAGGUCUUCGGAUCGUAAAACUCUGUUAUUAGGGAAGAACAAAUGUGUAAGUAACUAUGCACGUCUUGACGGUACCUAAUCAGAAAGCCACGGCUAACUACGUG
rnacentral:rRNA from 1 species